rnacentral:rRNA from 1 species
CACGCCAUAAACGAUGAGAACUAGACGUUGGGAGGGUAAGCCUCUCAGUGUCGCAGCUAACGCGCUAAGUUCUCCGCCUGGGGAGUACGGCCGCAAGGUUGAAACUCAAAGGAAUUGACG